rnacentral:misc_RNA from 1 species
GGCAAUAGUGCCAGUGCUUGGGAUGGAUAUCCUCAGUAUCUUAAUGCUGCUGAUGGCAUGCAUAUAUCUCCGGUUGUCUACAAUGAUAAUCCCUCUCUCAUGUUUCAUUCUGGUUAUGGCUUCAAUCCUGAGAUGGCAUAUGGGCAGUAUUCUCCAGUUGCUACACCUUUGCCUUCUAUAAUGCUAGAAAGCCCGUUAUACUCUCCGAAGCAGAUCCCAUUUUCACCAUCUUUCUAUCCACAACAUGCUCCUCCCAAUGUGCCUUCAUCAGUUCCUGUUUCUUCAUCUGAGCUCAUGACAUCAGAUUGUAAUACUGAUAACUCGCGUUUUGGGCCAGGAUCUGGUUACUUGGUACAGUUUGGAUCGUUUGGUGGAGGGAACAUGUCUGGGAUACCUGGCUCUGGCCCAUUAACAUCCCCAGCAGUAUAUCCUCAACCAAUGGGUAUACUUGGGCCAUAUGAACACCAUAUGCAACAGAUUUCUCAACAAAGAUUGCAUGGAUAUGGAAUAUGGACUAACAUCAACUUCCUCUGUUGGACGCUACCAGCAUGGUGGCUCUUUUCAGAGCUCCAAUAUUGGCAGUGGUUCUGUUUCUUAUCCGGGGGUUUAUGAUCGGGUGCAGCUUUCUCUUGAUAAGGGUAGAAGAAGAGAGAGGGAUCAGGAUUCAGUUUACACUUCUAAUGAUUCUUUUAGUUUUG